rnacentral:rRNA from 1 species
GUCUGUGGCCACACCACCCUGCACACGCCGAUCUGCUCUGAGAUCAGAAGCUAAGCAGGGUCAGGCCUGGUGAGUACUUGGAUGGGAGAAGGAAAACACAAGAAGUGAUACCAAGGGCUAUUCACU